CUCUGUCUUUCCCCCACCCCCUCUAGGUUUCCUUUUCUAACCUUUUUGUCUCACCAGGAAAUAGAACCACUUUGUAAAAGAACUGAUUCAAGUGGUGGCGAUGUGGGGAAGAGGAGGGAGUAAGGCCCGCGGUGACAGCAUUAAAAGCUGGGAGCCCUGGGGAUCGCCCCCGCCUGGCCCUCCAGCAACAGGAGUUCUCCCGACUGUGGCCUUUUCCCGUGUCCGGGGUCCACAGCUCUUUGCCUGCUAACCCUGGAGGGUUCUAAGCCGAUGCGCCCAUGCUGGGGGUGGGACUUUCUCCGAGUAACAUGCUUGGGUUUCCAUGCUUUGAAACCUGGAGGUGACACUGAAGUAGGAGCCUGGGCACCUUGGCAGAGGGAGCUAAUCAGAGGACAGGGGAAUCUGACACCAUCCUCAGAAGGCUGCCCCUCCAACAUGUUACCAGAAGAGUAUUUUCCUAAGCAACCUGCCUGGCACUACAACUCAGGGUCACUUUCAUCCACGAUUAGAAUCCUAUGAUGAAAGUCAGAAUGCAUCUGCGAUUAAGGCACGGGCUCUGGAGACAUAUCUGGAUUUGCUUUAUCUGCAGGUUGCUCCUUGCCUGUCUGUUAGCUCGUUUGUAAAAUGCUACCUCCUAAUGCCAUUGUGAUGAUUAAAUGAUCCAGUGUGUCACUGUCAGCCCCAUGCCUAACACACAGUAAGUCUCAGGUGCGGUAGUGGAGAAGAGGAUGGGCUCUAGAGCCAAGAAUGGGUUUGGAUCCUGGCUCUGCCACUUACAAGUUGUAUAACCCUGGCGUCAGUUUUGCCCUUUGAUGUAAGUCAUCGUCUCUGGACAUGAGAACGGGAGGCCUCACUUCCACAUCCUCCUCCAAAUGAAUGCACUCUAAACAAACAUUGAUGCGCCUCUCAAGGUUGGCAUUGCAUCUGGACCAGUGCCAGGAAGCCACAAGGCCACCAGAGGCAGAGGGGAAGAGCAAGGGCGGAAGAAUAGAAGUCAAGCAGCAGCAGAUGGAAUGUGUGCACGGUCAGGUGGAGGCAAGCUGCUCCUGACUGGUGCAAGAACUGACUGUGUGUGUACUUUGCUUCUCAGUGCUGUGCACAGACACGUGCAGCAAGAACCAUCUCAGAGGGUCACAAGCCCCCUAGAUUUUACCCACAGAAGAUGGUAGAAAAAAGAACCUGUGAUGAAUGAAGAAAGCUGGGGAAAAUGAGGGAAGGCAGGAGGAACCUGCCAGAAACAGGCCAAGUCCCACCAACAUGGAAAUCAGAUCACAAAUGAUUUAGCUGUAAAACAGAAUCCAGUGCAUUGGAGGGAACCCUGGACAUAUGCUGAACAAUAAGGAGAGCCAGCUGCCCAAUAUCUGCAAGGAGAUUGUUCACAGCCAAUACCGAGGAGAGUACUAAACACUGAGAUAGAUUUUGCUGCUGCUAAGGCAAACUAUUAUAAUCUUGAACUACAAAAAGCGGGGGAGGGUGUGGUCAGACAAGUUCCAGCCCUUCCCCUUCCCCCACCAUGACUCUAGUUCACAAUUUUAAUUCCCAGGAGAAUCACAACUGAAGCAGACUACCCAGCUGAAAAGAGAGACGUGCACCCUCCAUUGUGUCCAAUAGCUGAGGACAUACGGGCAAGCUAACGAGAUGCAAAUCCCAUUCAAUGUGGCUAAUGCCCUUUUUAUCCCUAACCAAAGACCUAGAAAACUCAUUCAAUUUGGUGGUUUUCUAAUAUAGCUUCCACACCAUCGUUGAAUGUGCAACACUAAUUUAAAUAAAUUGCAUGUAGUCAGCAAAAGAGACAGUUCUGUCUUUGUGUAGUCUGAGAGGCUAUUUUGGCGAUUAAAGAGACCCGAUCUCAUCCUCUUAAUUAAGGCAAAGCUCAAGCCUAUCUACUAUUCACUCUCAAGCAGUGUUUCUAUGAUGGGUUAUUUUGGCGCUACCCAGGGCCACUGUUGAAUUGUCUGGUAGCUGAGGAGAGGACAUUUUAGGAAUAGAACCGUGCACUGAACAAGAGUCUUGGGGUUAAGUAGCAAAUGCCACUUCAUCCAGGUAAUGCUGAAAGAGCCUUUUACCAACACACCUUUCACUGCCAAAGGAAACAAAUUUUAGGUUGGGGCCAACUUGAUUCUCUCAGAAAGUGUUUGUAGCUGAACCACUGCAGAGGGUUCUACCACAGCCAGAGCUGAUUUCCUCACUGAGGAAAGACUUGAGGAGCUCAGAGAACAGGAGGGAGAAGGAUGCUCACUAAUGCCUAAAGGUACCACCAGGACUUGAAAAUUCCUUCAAGACUUGUUCUUUGCCUUUUAGGCUAUUGUACUUUCCAGAUCAUAAGCAGGGGGCUCAGAACAUAGUAUUUGCUCAAUAAAUCCUUGUUGGCUAGCAGACUGGGGCAUGGGCUUGAAAAUUAUCUUUCCUUUCUUCUACCUGAUUGGGCAGAACAUUCUAAAAGGAAACUUGUUCUAAUCUUUCACAUUUUUGGUCUUAGAUCUCUCUUUUCAGGAGUCUUAAUCUGAGAGGCUUUCCAAUUUGUUUGCUUCCUGGUCCUCAAAGUCAUCAUCCCCGAAGGUCAGCAAUGAGAGUACUAAAACGCUAGUCCUCAUCCUAAUGGGAGAUAAGUAGGUCAGCAACUCUGUGCCUCUCUUAAUAUUUUAGGUUGGACCAAUGACUGCAUUAAACUAAAAAAGGCGUCCCUCAAACAGCAGACAUUCUGAAACCUGAAAAACACUUACACUGAAGAGAUGUCAGUUUAAAAGGGUAUUCAUCUCUCAAAACUCCAACUGCCUGCAGCAUAUUUCUACAAAUUGCCCUUGUUCCAGAAGUCAGCAUGUCUUAGGUUAGUUCGUUUUACUGCAGUUAAGACAGAAGCAAAACCUGUAUCCACAGCUUCUAUUUGAGCACUUCUAAACAGUCUUAAAUUAAUAAAGAUGCUGACAUAUAUGGUAUUUAUUUUAGACUCAAGAACACAUUUUAGUCUCUUGGGCCAGCCCUUCUGCAUAGACAAAUUUCAUCUACAUAUACAGUAUAUUAUGAAAAAGGAAAAUAUUGAAAAUUCUAGGGAGAGAAUAUUUCUGUUCAAGGAUUAAGAUGAGAUUCAAAGGCAGGACAUAGGCCAGGCACAG
rnacentral:lncRNA from 1 species